GAGUUUGAUCAUGGCUCAGGACGAACGCUAGCGACAGGCCUAACACAUGCAAGUCGAGGGGCAGCACAAGGUAGCAAUACUGAGGUGGCGACCGGCGCACGGGUGAGUAACGCGUAUGCAACCUGCCUGUAACAGGGGAAUAGCCUCUUGAAAGAGAGAUUAAUGCCGCAUAAUACGAGAUUCGGGCAUCCGGAUUUAGUUAAACAUUUAUGGGUUACAGAUGGGCAUGCGUUUCAUUAGGUAGUUGGUGAGGUAACGGCUCACCAAGCCGACGAUGAAUAGGGGUUCUGAGAGGAAGGUCCCCCACACUGGUACUGAGACACGGACCAGACUCCUACGGGAGGCAGCAGUGAGGAAUAUUGGUCAAUGGACGCAAGUCUGAACCAGCCAAGUCGCGUGAAGGAUGAAGGUAUUAUGUAUUGUAAACUUCUUUUGUCAGGGAAUAAUGGGUGUCACGUGUGACGCAGAGGAAUGUACCUGACGAAUAAGCAUCGGCUAACUCCGUGCCAGCAGCCGCGGUAAUACGGAGGAUGCGAGCGUUAUCCGGAUUUAUUGGGUUUAAAGGGUGCGUAGGCGGUUUGUUAAGUCAGUGGUGAAAGUUUGCGGCUCAACCGUAAAAUUGCCAUUGAAACUGGCGAACUUGAGUACAGUAGAGGUAGGCGGAAUUCGUGGUGUAGCGGUGAAAUGCUUAGAUAUCACGAAGAACUCCGAUUGCGAAGGCAGCUUGCUGGACUGUAACUGACGCUGAGGCACGAAAGCGUGGGGAUCAAACAGGAUUAGAUACCCUGGUAGUCCACGCCGU
rnacentral:rRNA from 1 species